rnacentral:rRNA from 1 species
GCACGAAAGCGUGGGUAUCGAACAGGAUUAGAUACCCUGGUAGUCCACGCAGUAAACGAUGAAUACUAACUGUUUGCGAUACAAUGUAAGCGGUACAGCGAAAGCGUUAAGUAUUCCACCUGGGGAGUACGCCGGCAACGGUGAAACUCAAAGGAAUUGACGGGGGCCCGCACAAGCGGAGGAACAUGUGGUUUAAUUCGAUGAUACGCGAGGAACCUUACCCGGGCUCAAACGCAGGGGGAAUAUAUAUGAAAGUAUAUAGCUAGCAAUAGUCACCUGCGAGGUGCUGCAUGGUUGUCGUCAGCUCGUGCCGUGAGGUGUCGGCUUAAGUGCCAUAACGAGCGCAACCCCUAUCGACAGUUACUAACGGGUCAAGCCGAGGACUCUGUCGAGACUGCCGGCGCAAGCCGCGAGGAAGGUGGGGAUGACGUCAAAUCAGCACGGCCCUUACGUCCGGGGCGACACACGUGUUACAAUGGCAGGUACAGAAGGCAGCCAGUCAGCAAUGACGCGCGAAUCCCGAAAACCUGUCUCAGUUCGGAUUGGAGUCUGCAACCCGACUCCAUGAAGCUGGAUUCGCUAGUAAUCGCGCAUCAGCCAUGGCGCGGUGAAUACGUUCCCGGGCCUUGUACACACCGCCCGUCAAGCCAUGGAAGCCGGGAGUACCUGAAGCAUGCAACCGCAAGGAGCGUACGAAGGUAAUACCGGUAACUGGGGCUAAGUCGUAACAAGGUAGCCGUACCGGAAGGUGCGGCUG